CAAGUCGAGCGGACAGAUGGGAGCUUGCUCCCUGAUGUUAGCGGCGGACGGGUGAGUAACACGUGGGUAACCUGCCUGUAAGACUGGGAUAACUCCGGGAAACCGGGGCUAAUACCGGAUGCUUGUUUGAACCGCAUGGUUCAAACAUAAAAGGUGGCUUCGGCUACCACUUACAGAUGGACCCGCGGCGCAUUAGCUAGUUGGUGAGGUAAUGGCUCACCAAGGCAACGAUGCGUAGCCGACCUGAGAGGGUGAUCGGCCACACUGGGACUGAGACACGGCCCAGACUCCUACGGGAGGCAGCAGUAGGGAAUCUUCCGCAAUGGACGAAAGUCUGACGGAGCAACGCCGCGUGAGUGAUGAAGGUUUUCGGAUCGUAAAGCUCUGUUGUUAGGGAAGAACAAGUACCGUUCGAAUAGGGCGGUACCUUGACGGUACCUAACCAGAAAGCCACGGCUAACUACGUGCCAGCAGCCGCGGUAAUACGUAGGUGGCAAGCGUUGUCCGGAAUUAUUGGGCGUAAAGGGCUCGCAGGCGGUUCCUUAAGUCUGAUGUGAAAGCCCCCGGCUCAACCGGGGAGGGUCAUUGGAAACUGGGGAACUUGAGUGCAGAAGAGGAGAGUGGAAUUCCACGUGUAGCGGUGAAAUGCGUAGAGAUGUGGAGGAACACCAGUGGCGAAAGGCGACUCUCUGGUCUGUAACUGACGCUGAGGAGCGAAAGCGUGGGGAGCGAACAGGAUUAGAUA
rnacentral:rRNA from 1 species